rnacentral:lncRNA from 1 species
UACAGCAGCCUGAACUGGUGGCAGCCAGCUGAGCUUGGCCAUUGUUCCUUACCACAUCCAGUUCGGUUUUCUCCAGGACAUCCACCAGUACCUCAAUCUUGGUCUUGUCGCUGAAGAGAAAGUCAUCGUCCACCCAGAGGACAUAUUUAGUAGUCACCUGUGAGAUGGCCAGGUUCCUCCCAGCAAACCAGCCCUGCAGGCAGCAUGGGGUUGGAUCAGCAGUUGUCACCUCGGGGGCUUCUUGAAUUCCCAGUGACCAGGCUGCCUCCCACCAUGGGUGAACUUGGAAUCUGUGGGAUUCUGUAGUUCAGACAAGGCUGACGACUACAGUCUGCCUCAGAGAGACAUGGCAGGGACAGUGACUUUCUGGAUCAGAGGCUGAGACAAAGACUGGAAAGUCCUUCCUUAGUCCAGUGACCUCUAUGAAUAGACUGGAGUCCCCUCUCAUCUUACAGUUGCCUUCUACCUCCUGGGAGAUGUUGGUUUGGGGAACAUUUGCGCUCAGUGAUAUCUUUCCCUUUUCUAUGUUUGGCGGAAGAUAGGAGGAGAGAGGAAAGGAAGUGGAUGGGACAGGGAGGGAGAGGGAGCCUAGCUUGGGGACAGUCACAGAGAACAAAAGGCUGCUAUGGCCCCAUGCAUCACAAUCAGCUAUCAGAUCCCAUAUGUCACCUGUAAGAACCCCUGUCAAUUUCCACAUCGAAUAGGAGGAAGGUAGAAUAAACUAGCACUUCGUUAAUGUGGGAUAACGAUCGCUCCAGUUUCCCUCUGCAUCAGAACAAGAGAAGCCCCGCAGAGAUGAUCAGGGAAACAACUGAAUCUGGGUCCCUCUUGUUCUGGGAGCUAAAUGUCCCCAGUCUGAGGGGGACAUACCUUCCCAAAGGGCAUGGUGUAGUACUCCACGUAGUCAUCAUUAAUUUCCAGGGGCUCCUUGCUGUCAUCAGCUACAAUCACGGUGCACUGGGAAGUAAAGACAUUUUAAGGUUACCCAACUUGGUUAGGCAAGAGUCGCCACCUCAACAGAAGCUGAAGCAGCUUUAAAAGUUCCAGAGGGGUCGUCAAAGUGGCUCAGCAGGAAACAAACAAAAAAAUAACAGAGUGCGGGGUGUACACACCUGUAACCCCAAAGCUUGAGAGAAGAAAGGGGGAAUCUGGAGCUCAAGGCAAGCCAGCCACAAACAUGUAAGAGAGUUUGGAAAAUCCUGGCUUACGCGAGAGCAUCUCAAGAAACAAUAAGACUAGGUUGUGAUCAGAAGACAGACCUGUGUCCACCUUGUGGAGAUAGUACUCUGUGCUGGUGUACGUCACAUGCUGAAGGAUGAAAUUCAGGACCUUCCGAUGUCUGGUGGAAAUGGUCAGCUGCCUCUGGCCUCUGCCCUGAACCUCAUCAUCUGGCACAUCAGCAAGGGUGUUCAGUGUCCCCAGAGAAGCUUUCAGGAUGACCUAGACAUGACAUUAGAAGCACACACAUAUUGUUGUACAGCUGUCAGCCAUCCCUAUCCAUCUCUAGAAGCCCUUUAUCCUACCCAAUAAAACGUUAUUCCCA